GAUGAACGCUGGCGGCGUGCCUAAUACAUGCGAGUCGAGCGAACGGACGAGAAGCUUGCUUUUCUGAUGUUAGCGGCGGACGGGUGAGUAACACGUGGAUAACCUACCUAUAAGACUGGGAUAACUUCGGGAAACCGGAGCUAAUACCGGAUAAUAUUUUGAACCGCAUGGUUCAAAAGUGAAAGACGGUCUUGCUGUCACUUAUAGAUGGAUCCGCGCUGCAUUAGCUAGUUGGUAAGGUAACGGCUUACCAAGGCAACGAUGCAUAGCCGACCUGAGAGGGUGAUCGGCCACACAGGAACUGAGACACGGUCCAGACUACUACGGGAGGCAGCAGUAGGGAAUCUUCCGCAAUGGGCGAAAGCCUGACGGAGCAACGCAGCGUGAGUGAUGAAGGUCUUCGGAUCGUAAAACUCUGUUAUUAGGGAAGAACAUAUGUGUAAGUAACUGUGCACAUCUUGACGGUACCUAAUCAGAAAGCCACGGCUAACUACGUG
rnacentral:rRNA from 1 species